rnacentral:rRNA from 1 species
UACAGAGGUCUCAAGCGUUGUUCGGAUUCAUUGGGCGUAAAGGGUGUGUAGGUUGGCGCGCUAAGUCGGGUGUGAAAAUUUCGGAGCUUAACUCCGAAACUGCAUUCGAUACUGGCGUGCUUGAGGACUGGAGAGGAGACUGGAAAUUCAUGGUGUAGCAGUGAAAUGCGUAGAGAUCAUGAGGAAGACCAGUGGCGAAGGCGGGUCUCUGGGACAAGUUCCUGACGCUGAGGACGAAGGCCAGGGGAGCAAACGGG